rnacentral:rRNA from 1 species
CCUACGGGUUGCAGCAGUGGGGAAUAUUGCACAAUGGGCGCAAGCCUGAUGCAGCCAUGCCGCGUGUGUGAAGAAGGCCUUCGGGUUGUAAAGCACUUUCAGCGGGGAGGAAGACGGUAAGGUUAAUAACCCCAUCGAUUGACGUUACCCGCAGAAGAAGCACCGGCUAACUCCGUGCCAGCAGCCGCGGUAAUACGGAGGGUGCAAGCGUUAAUCGGAAUUACUGGGCGUAAAGCGCACGCAGGCGGUCUGUCAAGUCAGAUGUGAAAUCCCCGGGCUCAACCUGGGAACUGCAUCUGAUACUGGCAAGCUUGAGUCUCGUAGAGGGGGGUAGAAUUCCAGGUGUAGCGGUGAAAUGCGUAGAGAUCUGGAGGAAUACCGGUGGCGAAGGCGGCCCCCUGGACGAAGACUGACGCUCAGGUGCGAAAGCGUGGGGAGCAAACAGGAUUAGAUACCCGGGUAGUC